UACCCUGUUCAGAGUAUGUGAGGAUUGAUUUCAUCUCUACGUUCUAUCUAAGUUUGGGGUUACUGUUGGAAUAACAACCUUUAAGUUUGGGGUAGCUUUGCAGUAAGUGAAUAGUAAGUCAAUGUAGUAAAAAAAAAAGAAAAAAAAAAGAAAAAAAGAAAAGAAAAAAAAAAGAAAAAACAACAACAACAUGAAAAGAAAGAAAGAGAAAAGCGAAAAACAAUAAGAAUAGCUUUUGAAAAAUGCUACAUUCACUAUAGAAAAAAGGAAAAGAGGAUUACAAAACCCU
rnacentral:lncRNA from 1 species